CUAACAGAUGACAGCUGUGCACAGACGAUAAUGUAGGUUGUGUUUUAUUGACAAUGAAAACAUGGUCCGAUAGGAUAACGAUUUUUCUUAAACAAAAAACAAAAUAUGAGACAUGUGAGAGGAGAAAGACUUCCAAGACUGGUGAGAGGUAAGGAGGAAGUUGUUCUUGAACUGAAAACCAGGCCCAAAUACUUGGAGCAAAGUGAACUUUGGUAAAAGAUAUCCAAGGACCAGUGAUGGUAUUAAACCAGAUAAUGGAUUGGAUUGAGUUUAUCAAAGAACACAGACCGCAAAAAGCUGGAAGAAAAACAAGAAAGCAACUUAACAAUUUUACCAAUCUACUUUCUUGCACUAUUAUUUUAACUCCCAAAGGAUGAAACAAUAAUCAGAUUUGAUCACAGGACCCAGAAUAUGGCAAAGUAUUUUCUCCAAUGUUCAAACUAUUCCACCAAUCCACUGAUUUUAUUUUAUCAACCCCAAAAGAUGAAAGACAAAAGUGACCUCAUCAGGAUUUGAACUCAGAACAAAUGCUAAGUCCGUAGCAUUCGGACUACUCCGUCAAAUAUAAUGCUUAUUUAUGCACACUGUUUUGAAUUCAUCCUGCAUUAUCUUGUAACCUUAGUUUUCGAUUAUGUAAAUGUUAAUGUUCAAAAUGACAUCUCACACUUAGGGUAGGUGAGAGAUGUCAGAUAUAGCCAGUUUGAACAUAGGGUAAAUAGAAUAUUUUGGCCGGAUAUUGCCAGUUUAAAUGCUAAAGGGGUAAUUUUGUAAAUAUUGUAAAUCAAGAAUUUAUCUUGUAUAUUAUUUAAGGCACAUGGAUAACAUCAGUGGCAUAGAGAGGGAAGGCUGAUAUGUAUGGGCAACUGCUGGUCUUCCAUAAACAACCUUGCCCGAACUUGUGCCUCAGAGGGGAAUUUUCUAGGUGCAAUCCAAUGAUCAUUCAUGAUCAAAGGGGAUCUUACCCUUACCCUAUCCUUCAUCUUUGUUGUUCAAAUACAUGCCACUGGCCACUCUGAGUUACUAAAUUACCUAACCAAUAGACUGGUACUUCAUUCUAUCAAUCCCUGGAAGAAUGACAAGCAAAGUUGAUCAUGACAGGUUUUGAACGCAGAGCACAGGAGAAAAUACAAGGUGUUCUGUGCUACUUCUAAUGACUCUCAUCAAUUCUCAAAUUUAUUAAUGCUUCAGCAUUCAAACUGGCCAUAUCUGGCCCAAAAUGUUCUAGCAGUUUUAUGUCCAAAUUGACCAGAUCUGGCCUCUCACACCUAGCUGAUAAUGUCAUUCAAAUCAUAAACAAUCAUAGAAAUCUCAAAACUACCAGAUAAUGCAUGAUUAAUUCAGAAGCACGUGAAUGAAUAUGCAGCAUAGCAUUUGGCAUAGUAAUACAAUUGCUAAAGAGUUAAACUGUGUCUCUAGUUCAAAUGUUUGAUUUUAGGUCAUUCAAGUCUCUAAACUAUCAAAUAAAAAAAUAUAUAUCUUAUAAUCAGAGAAGUAUUACCUGCAACAAAUUAUUAUUGUUGCUUAGACCCAGUACAACUUUAAGACUAUUUGUUUCAACCGUGACCAUUUUGCCUCUUUAAGAGUAUCUAUGACUGUUUACCACAAGAUCCAGUCUUUGUUAUGCUGAAGAGGCUUGUAUGCUUCAAUGAACCUGAGAACUAUGCCAGUAGAGCACAAGCCUCUCAUAGAGCCUCCUAUGGUGGACAGAUUAACCCUUUAGCAUUCAGAUUACUCUGUUGAAUGUAAUACUUAUUUCUUCAUAUUGCUUUGAAUUAAUCCUGCAUUAUCUUAUAGCUUUGAAAUUUCAAUGGUGUGUUUGUUUACUUUUAAAAUAAUGUUGUAGAUUAGGUGUAAAAGCCUGAAUCAUGCCAGUUUGAACAUAAAACAGCUGGAACAUUUGAGCUAGAUAUGGUCAGUUUAAACACUAAAGGAUUAAAAGACAAGAGGUCAGACUAAUAUGGACCACCUCUUCCCAGCAGUAAAAUGGAUUUGUGUAGGGCCAACAUUCUUACCUAGGAGAAAGCAGAAUUACAGAAACAUUGAUGACAAUUUAAUAUUGGUUUCAAAUUUUGGCACAAGGCCAGCAAGUUCAGAGGAAGAGAUAAGUUGACUACAUCAAGCCCAGUGCUUUACUGGUACUUAUUUUAUUGACCCUGAAAGGAUGAAAGGCAAAGUCAACCUUGGCAGAAUUUGAACUCAUAACAUAAAGAUAGAAAAAAUGCCACUAAGCAUUUUGUUUGGUGAACUAACAGUUAUCCCAACUUGCCACUUUACAAUGACAAUUUAAAAUCAAGGGAGAGCCCAGAGAUGAGAACAGUGGGGAAAAGUUGCUGAUGGCCUAUGCUCCAUAGGGAACAAAGAGUUUAUGAUAUUAUUGUGACUAUGUUAUCCAAUUAGUUCUUUCUUGUUUAAGGUGGUGGUUGUUUGAUUUAAGGGAGUUUUGGCAGCAAUUUCUAGAAGUUCAUACCAUGUGGAGGUUCCCUCAUUGGCCUAAUAGAAUAAUAUUCUGUUCAGAAGAAAAUACACCUAUCCUGCUCAUUAACACAAGUAUGAUAGGCCAUCAUCAGUCAAGGCUGACCACACAGCUGCACAAGUACGCACAAACCUGAGCAAUAUUUCUGAGGUAGACUGACAGUUGCUCAUGCAUGUACAUCUCCACUCCCCAUGCCACCGAUGUUUAUCCAAAGGAAAAGCCACCAACUAGGAGUGAUACAGCCUAGCCCAAGUGUCAUUGCAAGUGUUACUGAUAAAACACAAACAGCUGGAGCAGAUCUUGUAAAGCAUCCCUCCAAGCCUUCUAACAUUCUCCAACCCCAAAAGAAAAAAAGAUGAAGUUGACCUCAGUAGGAUCUGAACUCAGAAAGCAAAGCGUCAGAAUAUAUUUGGUGAGGCAUUCUGUCCAACACUCUUACAACAUAGCCAAUUUAGUACCUUAAUAUGAGUAAAUCUAUGAGGCGGCGAGCUGGCUGUAUUGUUAACAUGCUGGACGAAAUACUUAGUGGUAUUUCAGCUGUUGAUACAUUCUGAGUUCAAAUUCCACCAAGGUCAACUUUGGAUUUCAUCUUUUCGGGGUCAAUAAAUUAAGUACCAGUGAAACACAUGACUGUCGCUGGCACAAAACAAUAUAGCAAAAGCAAAUGAAGGGGACAUGUGAGAUUUAUACUGAAAGUAAUACAAAAGUAGGCAUAAAAUGACAAAGGUUGUUCAAAUUGCACAGUUUAGUAGAGUAACUCUUCCUGUAUACAAUGCUAACACUCAACAUCAUCUCCAUCAUAAGAAAUGCAUUUGAACCGUCUCGAACCCAACUCUUUAAUCCUUUCAAAAAAAAAUUCAGGUACUCACUGUUGUACCCACUUCAUCACAGCCACUUUCACACUAUCUAAACACUGUUCUUCAUAGAGCCAAACAGGUAGAAGUUUGAAAAUAUCAGAUCCAAGUGUAUGCAACCAAUUCCCUGUUUGGUUUCUAAAGAACAUGGUCAAGUGGUUAAGAUCAAGCAACUGACAAACAAAUUUGUGGUAUUGAGCAGAAUAUUUACUAUAACGAUAUUUCUGCCUCAGUAAUUCAGUGCUGAAUCUGUCUGAAGAGUAAUGGAAAAUAGGUCAGUUUCAAAACAUUGAUGUCCAGGUCACAAAAGCAAAGUUUGAAGGGAAUAGUAGUCAUUUCCCUUGAUUUCUAGAUAGAAGCAAAUAAAAAAAUAACACUUACUGACCAAAGGCAAAAAAAAAUAAAUAUUUUGCUACACAGUGUUAUUUGCCCACAAUAAUAAAGAACAGAAAGAAGAGUUACUUUCUCAAAAAAGUUAUUCUAUCAAUAUGUGCAACGUAAACAAUCAAUGUCAGUUAAUAAAACAACCUUUAUACAUCAUAUUCCAAAUGAACAGAGAAUAUCAAACAUUUGUUUGUUUGUUUUUUUUUCCUCUCUUUUUUUGUAGAGUUUCCAGAACAUAGCUUUUGGUUUAUCCAAUGAAAACCUUCGCACAAAAUAUUAGAAAUUUCCUCUCAUCAAAUGAAAAAUAGUUUUAACUGCCAAUUUUUUUUCUUCAUGUAAUAAAAUUAUAAAUUUUAUUGAGUCGACAUUCAGAUUGAUUCUUUGAAUUAUUCAGAAAAAAAUGUAUUGUAUACAUUUUUGAGUAUUUCAUUAGAUGCAACAGUAAAUAUGAAAAAUAAAAUAUAAAUUUCAAAAAACAGAAAAUGUAUAUAAUCUUUUCUACUCUAGGCACAAGGCCUGAAAUUAGAUCAACCCCAGUACGCAACUGGUACUUAAUUUAUCGACCCUGAUAGAAUGAAAGGUAAAGUCAACCUUGGCGGAAUUUGAACCCAGAAUGUUAAAAUAUGCUAAAUCAUAAUUCAGUGUUUUUGUUGUUUUCAAAUAUAAUAAAAUUAUUUGUAUUAUUAUUAUUAUAAGUAGUACUAUUUACUGUCAUUGCUUUGUUUUAUACAAGCUGUUCCAAACUUAUCCAGAGACCUCAAGUAACAGCAAGUUGAACAUUUUAUUAUGGGUGUUAUCUAUGAUUAGCAACAGUAUAUUGUAAGGUUAAAAGAGACCAGAAUCUGAGAACUAAGAUUCUGCUAAAUUUGUAAAAUUUGAAAGAGUUUAAUGAGAAUUAAGUACUGUCAGAUUGACAGUGUUUUCCUUAGGAUGUAGUCAGUACUCAUGUGAAUAAUUUCUUGUAGUUCUGAUACAUCAUCAUUAUUAUUAUUAUUGAGUAAGAGAGCAAUGCAUGCCAUCAAAGUGACACUGGAGUACAAGUAUACAAAGCCCAAUAUAUCCAUCAUGACUACCCGUCUGAUAAGGGUAUACCAGGCACAUGCAAGACAACCAUAUGUGCAGAAUUUUCUUCUGGUCAAGUAGCCCAACGCACCCCACCCAAAAGUUCCCUGAAUAAGGAUUAUUUAAGGAUGUUGAAUGAAACACCCAUGUUUCCAGGGGUGAAUUAUCCAAACCCCAAAGAAUUCCUCUCAACACAUGGCUAUGAUGCUCCCCAAAUACGCCUGCUUGUGAUCAGAGAUGGACAUAUUGUCAGCCACUAAGGGACAUGCUCAUUAUUAUUAUUAUUAUAAUUAUUACUAUUAUUAAAUAAAAAAAAAAAGAAAUCCUUCUUUGAAAUAAUUAUUCCUCAUGACAAACAAGAGCAUUAUAUUGUUGAGAAGUUUAGAAAGUUCUUUAGGUAAAUUUCAUGCAAAAAUAUGGGAAAUGUAUUUUUUUUUUUUUUGCAGUCAAUUUUUGUUUCUCUUCCUUUUAAAGUUAAGAUGAUAUUCAAUGAGAAUGUAAUAUCAAAAAUACAUCAGAUGUAAACAUCAUAAGAAGAUGAAAAAAAAUAUGACACCUUAUGGUAAUCAGAGUUUGUUAGCCAGAAUAUUAAGAUAAAAGAUUUACAUGCACACAAAUACACACACACACAGACACAUUAUGCACAUACAUACGCACACACACAAAGAAGCACGUUUUGUUUAUUACUUGUGAAGAUGAGAAUACUGUGUAUGUUUACCCAAGAUGCACAUAGCACCUAGAUUGUUUUGUCUGAUCACUUUGUUGUAUAGUUACUGUGUCAUUCCAGAUCAGUCUUUAUUGAUUAGACCUAUGAUCAAAGACAUUCCACCCAUGAUCAGCCCAUAUAUCUUUCUCCCAUUUUUUUAAGAAAAAAAAGGUAAUAAAUAGAUGGUAUGUAUUUUGACAUACUAUAAAGUAAACUUUCAAAAUAACAGUAUCUACAAUGGAAAGCACAAACCUAACAGCAUUUUGAAAAUUGUAAUAGCAAUAAUAAUAAUAAUAACAAUAAUAAUAAUAAUAAUAAUAAUAAAUAAUGAUAAUAAUAAUAAUAAUAAUGAUAAUAAUAAUAAUAAUAAUAAUAAUAAUAAUAAUAAUAAUCAUCUUUUGUUAUAGGUACAAGGCCUGAAAUUUAGCGGGAGGGGUACAGUCGAUUGCAUCGAUACCAGUGCUCCACUGGUACUUAUUUCAUCAACUCCAAAAGGAUGAAAGGCAAAGUCGACCUCGACGGAAUUUGAACUCAGAAUGUAGCAACAGGUGAAAUACCGCUAAGCAUUUCACCCGGUGUGCUAACGAUUCUGCCUGCCCGCUACCUAAAAAAAAAAGAAAAAUUUUAAAAAAAAACAAAAAAAAAAAAUAAUAAUAAUAAUGGUUUCAAGUUUUGGCACAAGACCUGCAAUUUUAGGGGGGGUGUUAGUCGAUUACAUCGACUCCAGUACUUGACUGGUACUUUAUUUUAUAAUAAUAAUAAUAAUUAUCACCGUCAUCAUCUUUGUCAUCAACAUCUGCUUUUCUAUGCUGGCAUGGGUUGUAUUUAUAUUCUGAGGCAAUAUUUUACAGGUGGAUAAUCAUUCUGUUACAAACCCUUUCAAUGAAAUCAUGUUGUUAAACUUAGAUAGUCUUUUUUCUUUAAAUCUGAAAAUGAUUUGUUUUCUCCUUUAGUUAAUUUCAUACCUUUUCUUUUUUUUUUCUUUGGUUUAAGUUACUUAAUUUGUCAUUUAACAACCAAAUAAAGAGACAUUCAUUACAUAAACUG